AGGCUCAGGCGACGAUCAGUAGCCGACCUGAGAGGGUGAUCGGCCACACUGGAACUGAGACACGGUCCAGACUCCUACGGGAGGCAGCAGUGGGGAAUAUUGCACAAUGGGCGCAAGCCUGAUGCAGCAACGCCGCGUGAGCGAUGAAGGCCUUCGGGUCGUAAAGCUCUGUCCUUGGGGAAGAAUAAAAUGACGGUACCCAAGGAGGAAGCCCCGGCUAACUACGUGCCAGCAGCCGCGGUAAUACGUAGGGGGCGAGCGUUAUCCGGAAUCAUUGGGCGUAGAGGGUGUGUAGGCGGUUAGAUAAGCGAGAGGUUAAAGGCUAUGGCUCAACCAUAGUAAGCCUUUCGAACUGUUUAACUUGAGUACAGGAGAGGAGAGCGGAAUUCCUAGUGUAGCGGUGAAAUGCGUAGAUAUUAGGAGGAACACCAGUGGCGAAGGCGGCUCUCUGGACUGUAACUGACGCUGAGGCACGAAAGCGUGGGGAGCAAACAGGAUUAGAUACCCUGGUAGUCCACGCCGUAAACAAUGAAUGCUAGUUGGUCGGGA
rnacentral:rRNA from 1 species